UCAGAAACGCUGCCUGCGACUGCCCUUCGACCCGCAGGCGGCGACCCACAAGGAUCUCCCCGUGGGGAAAUGAGCUGGAAGCUCCAGCUUCGAGCUCUAUGACGAGAGUGGACCAGGAGGGCUUCAACGAAGACGGAAGAGCAGGCAGAUCGUCUGCGGCGCGGGGAGAUUCGAGCGAAAUCAGAUCGACAGAAGAGAGAGCGGCGGCAGGAGGAAGGAGUUCGGACGAACCGGCGGCGGAUGCGAGGCCCUGCAACAGCAACAGUGAGGAGCCCGAGCGAGCCGGAGAUUUUCUCCCUUCUUACGGACAAAGAAGAGGGCGGAGAGGGAUUUAGAGAGUGUGCCAUAC
rnacentral:lncRNA from 1 species